rnacentral:rRNA from 1 species
AGCCCUAAGCAGAUAUUUAGGGUGAUACCUGCCCAAUGAGAAAUUUAAUGGCCGCGGUACUUUGACCGUGCUAAGGUAGCAUAAUCAAUUGACUUUUAAAUGAAGUCUGGAAUGAAAGGGGGAACGGAAUUUAGCUGUCUUAACUUUUUUAAUUUGAAUUUACUAACUAGGUGAAAAAGCCUAGAAAAGAUAAAAGACGAGAAGACCCUAAGAGUUUUUAUAAUAUUUUUGUUGGGGCGACAUAGGGUCAAUAUAAACACCCUUAAUAUAUGAGACGGUUUUAUCAUGUUAAGAUAAACUACCUUAGGGAUAACAGCAUAAUUCUUUUGAGUUUGUGACCUCGAUGUUGGACUAGGAAGUUUAUAGGUUAGUUGCCUAAUAGAGGGAUUCUGUUCGAAUUUUUACUCCU